rnacentral:rRNA from 1 species
GCUGGCGGCGUGCCUAAUACAUGCAAGUCGAACGGCUUUUCUAUGGAAGCUUGCUUCCACUGAGAAGAUAGUGGCGAACGGGUGAGUAACACGUGGGUAACCUGCCCAUAAGAGGGGGGAUAACAUCCGGAAACGGGUGCUAAUACCGCAUAGUUUUCUUGAUCGCAUGAUCGGGAAAGGAAAGACGGCCUUUGUGCUGUCGCUUAUGGAUGGACCCGCGGCGUAUUAGUUAGUUGGUGAGGUAACGGCUCACCAAGACGAUGAUACGUAGCCGACCUGAGAGGGUGAUCGGCCACAUUGGGACUGAGACACGGCCCAAACUCCUACGGGAGGCAGCAGUAGGGAAUCUUCCGCAAUGGACGAAAGUCUGACGGAGCAACGCCGCGUGAGUGAAGAAGGUUUUUCCGGAUCGUAAAACUCUGUUGUCAGAGAAGAACAAGUUGGAGAGUAACUGCUCCAGCCUUGACGGUAUCUGACCAGAAAGCCACGGCUAACUACGUGCCAGCAGCAGC